rfam:Ciona savignyi cont_33216, whole genome shotgun sequence.
GUUUAUCACCAUUCCAGAUUGAAUAUACCCGAUCUCGUCUGAUCUCGGAAGUCAAGCAAUCUCGGGCUUGGUUAGUACUUGGAUGGCUGACCGCUUGGGAAUACCAAGUGUGAUAAGCA